rnacentral:lncRNA from 1 species
AGUUUACAUAUAAUUUAUAGAUAAAGGAAAAAAGAAAAAAGAGAGAGAGAGAGAGAAGAAAAAAAAGGAAUAAAAGAAAAAGGAAUAAAGAGAAGGCGUGGAGGUGCACGGUGGAAUAGAGAACUUUUGAAACUAUGAAUCACGUGUUAAAUAAUAAGAGAAGAGAAGAGAAGAGAAGAGAAGAGAAGAGAUGGUAUGUGUGUGUGGA